UGCCUCUCAGGGUCACACCUGGAGAGUUCCCAGUACUCUACCAGCCUUGACUACGGGAGGGAGAGCCAGGCAGAGGCAUAUCCAUUCCAUUCCUUGCUUAGGAAGUGGCUGACGAGCGGGAGGCAAUCUGCUACAGGU